UUUCUCUUUUCCUUUUUCACUUUACCUUUCUUUCAAAACUCAGACCAAACCAAGAAGGAAGGAACAAAGACAGAACGAAGAAGGGCAGACCCAUCAAUCUCCACUCCGACAACCCUCUCAUCUCCGGCGACCAUCUUCGUUCCGGCGAUCAUCUCCACUCUCUUCGUUCCCAGUUGUUUCAUUGUCUGUCCCUCUCAACUUGAACAGUGAGUUCAAUCGUUACUACUCAAUGUUCUUAUUCUUCUACUUAAUCGAUAUAAUCUUGUUGUCUGAAGAUGAAAAUCAACUUUGUUGUUUUUGGGAACUUGAAAUUUCAUGGGAACCGGUUGGAUUAUGCUUCUAUUGUGUUGGGGUUUAGUUACUUUUUUUGUCUUGCUUGUUGUUACUAGUUUUAGUAUCCUGUAUUUCUUUAUUGUCAUGGUUAUGUUCCUGUUUUGUUGUCUUGCAUUGUUUUAUUGUUGUGUGGUUUAAGUGAUUUUUUUCAUUUACCCAAAGUGAUUGUGUGGUUUAAGUGAUUUUGUCAUUGACAGAAAAAGAUAGAGAGAUAGAGAAGAUAAUGGUUUAAGUGAUNNNNNNNNNNNNNNNNNNNNNNNNNNNNNNNNNNNNNNNNNNNNNNNNNNNNNNNNNNNNNNNNNNNNNNNNGAUAUGGUUUGCAGGUUUUUGGUCCUUUAUCUGCAUUAUUCAUGGAAUGGUGGAAAACUUUAUAUUCUUAUGUUUUGAUUUUAAUUUAAUUCUUAUUGUGCUUGUUAGGGUUCUCUUUAAUUUCAUAUUUGAUCUUAAUUGAUGAUUUCCUUUUAAAAACAGGAUGGGUCGUGUAGAUAGCUGAAGGCUGUGUAGAUGAAGACCCCCUUAAUGUUUGUUAGUUAUUAAAUUAGUCAUUUUUUGCAUCACCCUGUUUAUGAUUAAUUGCAAAGGCAAUAGUAUAUAUUAAUGAAAUUUUAAUGAUUUAUUUUGUUCAUCAUAGGUUUAUGCCUCAUGAGAGUCAUCACUUUAUAAGCAAUUGUGAGAAUCAUCAUGCAGAUUAUGUGAUUUAAGUGUUCUGCAUAUUUUGACUAUUUGUCUCAUAAUGACAUGAAGAUAGAUACAUUUUUGUUUAUGUUUUGCAGCUUUGUUGGACUAUAGCUGUGGGAAUUAUAGUUGAGAUGAUUAUGACGUCGGUGGAGCAACUGGUUAAUCAAACUAUAUCUUAUUUGAUAAUGUGAUAGGAAUCAUUGAGAAUGUGAUAAUGUUAUUUCCUUGUGCAGGCUUGUAAUAUCUCAUUAAAGAUUGUCGACUUCCAACGCUCUAUCUUACAUGUAUUGUUAUAUGCUCAAGUUUAGCUUUUUUCAGGCUCUUGUUUAAUGCACGUCCAAACAUGAAUGCACACAUGCUUGUUUAUUUGAUGUUUCAUAAACAAGAAAAAAAUAAAUUAAGCAUGACAUUAAGAUCGACACAUUCAGAAUAAUUAUGAACUUUCUAUACUUGUAUUUAACUGUCAACAAUGAUGUUGACAUAUAACUUAAUGAAGGCAAAUACGGUGCUUCCCUCGUCAAUGUUUUAUUUUGGUGAUAUGCAUUACUAUUAGACAUAAUAUAUAUAUAUAUAUAUAUAUCUUGUCCCUUAGUUUAUCUCGAGUCACCUAUUUGUGUUCUACAUUUGUUUUGCUGAUGAAGAUUUCUUUGGAGCAGGAAGCUCUCUUUGGGAAAUUGAUACAGCUCAUCACCACUACUGUCCUCCUAUCUCACGGCAAGUGUUUUGAUCUUUAGCACAUUACUCCUUGUUUUCCUUUUCGCCAGUUCCGUGUUUGUGGAUUUUGACAUUCUUUUACUUGUACUUUUAG
rnacentral:lncRNA from 1 species